AACGAACGCUGGCGGCAUGCCUAACACAUGCAAGUCGAACGAGACCUUCGGGUCUAGUGGCGCACGGCUGCGUAACGCGUGGGAACCUGCCCUUAGGUUCGGAAUAACUCCCCGAAAGGGGUGCUAAUACCGGAUAAUGUCUUCGGCCCAAAGAUUUAUCGCCUUUGGAUGGGCCCGCGUUGGAUUAGCUAGUUGGUAGGGUAAAAGCCUACCAAGGCGACGAUCCAUAGCUGGUCUGAGAGGAUGAUCAGCCACACUGGGACUGAGACACGGCCCAGACUCCUACGGGAGGCAGCAGUGGGGAAUAGUGGACAAUGGGCGAAAGCCUGAUCCAGCAAUGCCGGGUGAGUGAUGAAGGCAUUAGGGUUGUAAAGCUCUUUUACCCGGGAUGAUAAUGACAGUACCGGGAGAAUAAGCUCCGGCUAACUCCGUG
rnacentral:rRNA from 1 species